AAUGUUAUGUAUCUUUACAUUCUACCUUGGCGGUCUGUAGCUUCCUGCCUUUUUUAUCUUGGAAGUUACGGUACUUAUGUAAGCGUGCGUCAGUUCCUCUUUAAAAAAAAAAAAAAAAUCAAUAAAAGGUAGCGGUUGUGACUGAUGAAAUCGGUCACCGCUGUGUGGAUUAAGAAGAGAUGUGAACUCUGCGAGGGUGCGCUCGCUGCCUCCCGGCGCUUGCUGGGGGUGAAGCGCCUCUCACCCCGGGGGAGGGAGGAAGGACGGGGCGGGUUCGGGGCCUCCCCCGGCCAAUCCGGCUGGAGCGCGCGGCCUUCAAACCUCGGGGGCACCGGGACAUCUCCCUGCGGGCCCGGCUGCCCUGGGAUCCGGCUAGAAGAGGGAUUCCAGUGCCUUGCGAGCAGCGCUUGCUGCGGUUUUCUGCUUUCUGAGGUUCUCUUUUUUUUUUUUUUCCUCUUUUGCAACUUCGAGCUUCCUGGCAAUAAUAAGAAAAGCGUAAGUACUUCCCUGGGGGGCAGAUCCGGAGGGUUGCAAAAGGCAGCGUCGGGUACUCUGAAUGAAGUGAUGGUGACUGCAGUUUGCAGAAUUGGCUCGUGUGACAAGAACUCACACUCAUGGAGAAGAACUACGGAAAGUCACAUGUACCCGGGGAAGGGAGUCAUCGUGUGCUAGUCUGGACUGGAAAUGAUGUUUUAAUUCCUUCAUCCUGACAGCAUGAGUAAUGUUUAAAAGCGCUCCUGUUGUUUUUCUGCAAAAGUUUCCUUUGUUUAUCCAGUAUAGUCUCCUAGGUACUGCUGCCUUUGGCUUCGCUGAGCUACUCGGUAACACUUUCUUGGACUUGGUAGCCUUAGCUGUCUUUUUUGGGGCCCUUGGUCACUACGGCUGCCUGGGCCCGCUUGACUGCGGGAGCCCCUUGCACCCCGAGAACCGGGACACGGCCUUGGUGACGGGAAAGCUGCGGUGUUUAAAGCUGCCAGCCACUGCAUCCCUCUCCUUGGGGUGCCAGGGGCUUAGAAACCACGACAAUACUCCAGGGAUCGGGAUUUACAGGGAGGAGCUUCUCCGCCAUUGGUGCCUCGGGCUGGCCGCACUGCUGGGAGACGGCGACAGCUCCCCUCCCUUUCCUCUGAACAGCGUUCUGCCUCAGGAGGCGGAGGAGUGAGUCACUGGGGCGUUCUGUUCAUGGAAAAUGUUUUUCAAGCAGAGGAAGAUAACGUGGGAGUGCCCGGCUGAAGUCUUGCUUGGAAACAAGAUGAGAAUCUCGCCUGUUUCUAAGCGGUAUAUGAUUCUUAAACAGUUUUCAAUUUGAAUUGUUUUCCAUUGCAUGUGUUUGGUUGUGUUUUUUUCUUCUUUUUUCUUUUUUUUUUUUUGUUGUGUUUUUUAACUUGUUUGUUAUUUUGGCUUCUCGUUUCACUCCCAAAACAGGAAGAGGACUUUUUGUUUUUUUCUCCCCCUCCUUUUUUUAAUCAUCUCUGUCCUGCUGAAAGAAGUUGCACUAGGUAUUAAUCAUCUACCAUUCAAAGCUGGACUUUGAAACAGCAGGAACUGCAGGGCUUUAUUAGUAACUAUUCUGAAAUUUGAGGCUAGAAUUAGGUUUAAAACAUUUCAGGAUUUUUUUUGUUUUCUUUCAUAAUCUCAAUUUUGCUGUAUUUUGCAUAUUUGGUAAAAUAAUCUUCUAUUGGUGUAUAUUUAGUAGGGAAGGAAGAGAUUGUGUGGGCCUGGAGAAGGGAAUUGGUUUGUACAAGGUUCUGAUUGGGCCAUUUGAAAAUCCUGAAACAGAGGCCUCCCGGGUUUCAUUUUUGCCCUUGAAAACACGGUGCGAGGAGGGAGCAUUUCUUUUCAAGAGUAAUGCUCAUAUUUCCUUCUCAGGCACUUUAGUAUUUAUGUUCUGCUUCUCUUGGAAAUUGCUUAUUUUGGUUUUGUUGGUUUUUCCCCUUAUUUCUACCCCCUCUCCCCAUGUUCUAGAAAUCAUUUGAAAACACAUCUAUUUUAACAGUUUUCAAAUAAGAUACGGGUAGAUUGCAAUCUAGUGUAAAGUGUUUGUUGAUUUUCUAUUAUGUUCAUCACUAAAAACUCGUUAAGCUCAUUAGUGUAAUUUAUUAAACUCACAAUUUCAUUCUCUGCCUUUCUAGCCAUGUUUCCUCCUUGAGACCUCUCAAGCUUCCUUAUACAGAGAUUUGUAAAUAUUGUUGCAUUCUCCAUGCCAACAACAGGAUUCUCAUGAUGGGUUUUAAGUGUAUUUUUGUUAGUACAGGAGAACUGAUGAGUUCUGAAUGCUAAAUCCUCUUUUUCUUCAGCUUUCUUCAGUUAUGCCUGGAAUGGUUUUUGUACAAUUAAUAAAUUAAUAUAAUCAAUACUGCAUAUCUUUGUUUCUCUUGAUCACUCAUUCACAAUUAAUGUAGAAAGGCUGUAUGUUCUUCUACCUCAGGUAACUGCUUGCUAUAAAUGAACACCUUCUCUGUCUGUAUACCUCAGUUAAAUAAAAGAUUUUUAUAUAUUGAAA